rnacentral:misc_RNA from 1 species
GAUGAAGAACGUAGCGAAAUGCGAUAAGUAGUGUGAAUUGCAGAAUUCAGUGAAUCAUCGAAUCUUUGAACGCACAUUGCGCCCCUUGGUAUUCCAUGGGGCAUGCCUGUUCGAGCGUCAUUUGUACCUUCAAGCUUUGCUUGGUGUUGGGUGUCUGUCUCGCCUUUGCGUGUAGACUCGCCUUAAAAUAAUUGGCAGCCGGCGUAUUGAUUUCGGAGCGCAGUACAUCUCGCGCUUUGCACUCAUAACGACAGCGUCCAAAAGUACAUUUUACACUCUUGACCUCGGAUCAGGUAGGGAUACCCGCUGAACUUAAGCAUAUCAAUAAGCGGAGGA